rnacentral:ncRNA from 2 species
GUAGGUGAUCCUGCGGAAGGAUCAUUG